rnacentral:ncRNA from 1 species
CAUGAAAUCAAAACACGACCUCAUAUAAUCUUGGGAAUAUGGCCCAUAAGUUUCUACCCGGCAACCGUAAAUUGCCGGACUAUGCAGGAAAGUGAUCGAUAAA